GGGAACAGUGAAUGCGCUGAUUCGGCCAUAACGCUCUAGAAGCGCUUAUGGUGGAUUUAUUGCUGUGGGACGCACGGAGCCCAGUAAUCUUUGGUGUUUGUAUGGUGCAUCGGCAUUGGUGCAUUACUCAUAAAAAUGUGUGAUGCAACGAAAAGGACACUAUAUGUUGGGAACCUCGAUGCUUCAGUCACAGAGGACCUGAUCAUAGCCCUCUUCAGUCCAAUUGGUCAAGUGAAGAGCUGUAAAAUCAUUACUGAGACUCUUCGGGUGUGGUAUAAGUUUACAGCCAGGUCUGUACACUGAAAUUAUCUGUAAUGCACAGAGGCAGUGCAUGGUAUUGCCAAGGGCC